rnacentral:rRNA from 1 species
GUGCCUACGGGACGCAGCAGUGAGGAAUAUUGGUCAAUGGGCGCAAGCCUGAACCAGCCAAGUCGCGUGAGGGAUGACGGUCCUAUGGAUUGUAAACCUCUUUUGUCGGGGAGCAAGGCCCGCCACGUGUGGCGGGAAGGAGAGUACCCGAAGAAAAAGCAUCGGCUAACUCCGUGCCAGCAGCCGCGGGAAUACGGAGGAUGCGAGCGUUAUCCGGAUUUAUUGGGUUUAAAGGGUGCGUAGGCGGGGGGUUAAGUCAGGGGUCAAAUGUCGGUGCUCAAACC